UGCAUAUCAAUAAGCGCGGAGGAAAAGAAACCAACAGGGAUUGCCUCAGUAACGGCGAGUGAAGCGGCAAAAGCUCAAAUUUGAAAUCUAGCACCUUCGGUGUUCGAGUUGUAAUUUGAAGAUGGUAACCUUGGGUUUGGCUCUUGUCUAUGUUCCUUGGAACAGGACGUCAUAGAGGGUGAGAAUCCCGUCUGAUGAGAUGCCCAUUCCUAUGUAAGGUGCUAUCGAAGAGUCGAGUUGUU
rnacentral:rRNA from 1 species